GCCCGUCGCUCCUACCGAUUGGAUGACUCGGUGAAAUCACCGGAUGCUUACGAGCAGAAAGUGAUUAAAUCACGUUAUCUAGAGGAAGGAGAAGUCGUAACAAGGUAACGGUAGGUGAACCUGCCGUUGGAUCAGUUCUAGUUUUAAUAACUAACACCAACUUCUUUUAUUAAACAAAAACCAAUACAAAAUUAAAAACUAACUUCAUCAAAAACCAAGUCUCUAAGCAAUGGAUGUCUUGGCUCCUCACACGAUGAAGAACGUGGCAUAAUGUGUUAAAGUAACCGGAGUUGCAAACAUCAUGACAGGUUAAUCUUUGAAUGCAAAUUGCGCUAAACUCG
rnacentral:rRNA from 1 species